rnacentral:rRNA from 1 species
AUUGAACGCUGGCGGCAGGCCUAACACAUGCAAGUCGAGCGAGCGGCGCACGGGCGAGUCAUGUCCGGGAAACUGCCUGAUGGAGUGGGAUAACUACUGGAAACGGUACCUAAUACCAUAUACCCUCAGAUGUGUCCAGAUGGGAUUAGCUAGUAGUUGGUGUAACGGCCCACCUAGGCGACGAUCCCUAGCUGGACUGAGAGGAUAACCAGCGACGCUGGAGGUGGAGCACGGUCCCGACUCCUGCGAGAGAGCGCAGUAAGGGAUAAUGCACUAUGGGCUCAGGCCUGCUGCAGACAUGCCGCGUGUGUGAAGAAGACCUUCGGAUUGAAAAGCACUUUCAGCGGGGAGGCGUUGCCCGGAGAAGAAGCACCGGCUGGCACCGUGCCAGCAGCCGCGGUAAUAC